CCUCCUACUUAGACCAUGAGGCUCAUCUGGGGCAAGGACAAUGUGAUUAACCCUGGUGCUUAGAACAGUGAUUACCACAUAGACAACAAGUCUCAACAGGGAUGGAUGGCCACUGACAGACCUCACAGAUACCAAAUCCCAUGAAACAGGCAGUGUAAUGUGAUGAUGUCAUAAAACUGCUAUUUUGCAGGUCUGCCUGAUUUGACAAGAAUAAACACAAAAUUAGAACAUC